rnacentral:rRNA from 1 species
UACGGGGGGAGCAAGCGUUGUUCGGAUUUACUGGGCGUAAAGGGCGCGUAGGCGGCCAGCACAAGUCAGUUGUGAAAUCUCCGAGCUUAACUCGGAAAGGUCAACUGAUACUGUGCGGCUAGAGUGCAGAAGGGGCAACUGGAAUUCUUGGUGUAGCGGUGAAAUGCGUAGAUAUCGGGAGGAACACCGGUGGCGAAGGCGGCGACCUGGGUCGAGACUGACGCUGAGGCGCGAAAGCGUGGGGAGCAAACAGG